UUGAAGCACAUCCUUUACACGAGA
rnacentral:siRNA from 1 species